GAACCGACAUCUAGCGAUGUUUAAUUGCGAGUUCGUUUUGCCGCGUCUGCACGAGCGAAUUUGAUCUCCGGCUACCGCCUUAACUCGGUACGCAUUCCAAUCGCCUCUCGGUGUGUUCAGUGCGAAACGAGCAGUCAAAGGAGAACAACCACAAAGAACCAAAUUUCUAAAAAUGUACACCCCGGAAGAGCACUACGACGGAUUUUCGACGUGGUUGCAGUUGGUCAUCCACCGUGGUGGUUCGAGGACGACCUUGACCCUGGGGGUGAUGGUAGGGAGUUUGGUCGGGUACAUAAACCCGACCAACGCCCUCGAAGUCAUCGAUUGUGUGUGGUCGCUGGCUGCAGGACAUCUUCCACCGGAGCUCGUAGAAGCCCGAUGGUUUUACGAGGGCGCCCUGCAGACCUCUGGGCCCUUUGAGGUGGUAUUGGCCCCAAAUCACGGGCAGAUCGAGAUUCUCUCGGUCUGCCUUAUGGAGACGGCAGAAGGCCUCUUGUGAUAUUGGAUGCGAGCCUUGAUGGAGGUGGAGUGAUUCGUCCCUGGACCCCCU